rnacentral:rRNA from 1 species
UAGGGAAUCUUCCACAAUGGGCGAAAGCCUGAUGGAGCAACGCCGCGUGUGUGAUGAAGGGUUUCGGCUCGAAACACUGUUGUAAGAGAAGAAUGACAUUGAGAGUAACUGUUCAAUGUGUGACGGUAUCUUACCAGAAAGGAACGGCUAAAUACGUGCCAA